AUACUACAUACGGUCGCCUGUAAAGUUUCUAUAACGUAAUAUCCAGUGUUAAGGUCAUCAUCAUUAUAUAGGCUUUUUAUUUACUAAAACGAUUACAAUUCAACUUUUGAAGAAUUUUUUUUAAAAGCAAAGAAAGGCGAGAACAUGGUUUCUACAACUCUUUUGAUAAUGUCAAUUACUUUGGUAUUUCUUGGAGUCAGUGAAGCACUUAAAGGAAGUGAAAGAGUGGUACAAGACUUAUCAAGUCUAACGUUAGAAAAGAGGAAGGCGACAGAGUUCCUCCGAAGAUCCAAACGAUAUGGUUCAUCAGAGUAUUACAGAGAAGUAAGGGAAACUAACCGUGAGGUCGAGGAGAAAAAUGA